UUUUCAGCAGUCGCGGGAAAGUUCAGUGGCCGUAAAAGCUUUCGACAACAGCGGCGACUUCCUAUGGCCGAUUCUCGAAGAGUUGGCCCAAAUACCGACUUCAGCCAAGGCACUCAAGGUUUUGGUUGUUGUGAACAUACUCAUGUAUGUAUAUGAGAUAUCAAUGAAGGAGUGAGGAAGGUUUGAGUUGACCAGACUGUGAAAUUUAAAAUGAAGAAGUGAGGAAGGGUAUUUGGGAGAAACAAUGGGCUUCUCUGGCACGCAAUUCGAGGCAAGAUAAUCAACAGCCCACCAAGUGCUGAUAAUAAACCACCGAGAACAACAUGAAUAGUGUGGGCCUCUCUUGUAAAAACGGGCCACGAGAUAUAGUCAUAAGUAACCAAAUGACUUGAUUAGCUCAUAUAAAUAUUAUAAACCUGGAAUAUCUUAUGAACCAAACGACCCCUUAAGAUUUUAUAAUAGGAGUUAUAUAUCUAUUUGAGUGGUAAAUGCGAACUAAACGAAGUUGGUUGACAAAUGUGAUUACAUAGAGAGUCACAUAAUCUAUGUUGCAUUUGCAUAACAUGUAUCUUUAUAUGUACGAAUUAAAAUUUUAAUUUCGUCACA